CCUACGGGUGGCAGCAGUGAGGAAUAUUGGUCAAUGGGCGCGAGCCUGAACCAGCCAAGUCGCGUGAGGGAAGACGGUCCUAUGGAUUGUAAACCUCUUUUGUCGGGGAGCAAAAGACGCCACGCGUGGCGUUCCGAGAGUACCCGAAGAAAAAGCAUCGGCUAACUCCGUGCCAGCGGCCGCGGUAAUACGGAGGAUGCGAGCGUUAUCCGGAUUUAUUGGGUUUAAAGGGUGCGCAGGCGGACGAUCAAGUCAGCGGUAAAAUUGAGAGGCUCAACCUCUUCGAGCCGUUGAAACUGGUGUUCUUGAGGGAGCGAGAGGUAUGCGGAAUGCGUGGUGUAGCGGUGAAAUGCAUAGAUAUCACGCAGAACUCCGAUUGCGAAGGCAGCAUACCGGCGCUCAAUUGACGCUCAUGCACGAAAGUGUGGGUAUCGAACAGGAUUAGAUACCCGGGUAGUC
rnacentral:rRNA from 1 species